GUGAUGGUCAGGAUGUGGGGAGCUUCUUCCAUAAAGCAGAGUCUGAUGGCUGGAAGAAUCUAGAAUUAUAUCAGAAGAAAGGAAAAAUUAGUGGGAAAUGACUUGACUUUACACUCGGUGGUUUGGAACAUUCCAGAGUCGAGAGAAGUUCUUCUUGUCACACGUGAUUUCAUAAUAAUUACGGCCAGCUGUGCCUGGGCAAUUCAGGUCAAGCCAGAUGCCAAAACCCAACUCAAACACUUACAGGAAGAUCCUCCUCAUGAAGAGCCUCCUAACAUCCUGUAGAAAAUCAGAAAAGGUCGCCAUCUUGAAAGAGGCUGAGCUACAUUUUGGUCCAUAUUCUCUUUAGCAGUAGCUAUGUUUAGCAGAGAAGCAAGAGACUGGAGAAUCCCUGCCUGUCAUCUUCAUAAAUAAGGUGGUGCUACACAGGAUGCUGGUGUUCUAGAUUAUAAUUCCUGGCCUCGUCCUCACCACCCCGAGAUGUCAGCCUCAAAUGGGAUAGGAAAUAUUCAACCAUAUUUCCAGCCUUCUUUGCAUCAAGUCUGGGACCUCUGUUACUGAAGAAAUACUGGACUGUAAUCACACAAAAUUAUAAUUUCAAUAGAAAGUCUAUUAAUACAUGUUUAAAUAUAGAACAUCUCUUUGAGACUUAUUUUAAUGAAUAUUCUUCCAGAAGUAUCUGUGUUUUAAGGAAGAUAAGGGGAAAGAAUUCAGAGAGAGGACUUUGAAUGCAAAGAGUUCAGAUCUUGGAGCACCUAAGUUGGAGAUUGUGCAGACAGAUGCAGGCCCUCUUCCACACACAGCCCUUCAAAAACUGUAAAUAGCGCUGUUACCUUCCCUGAGCUGUCUCUUCAAACUGAACUCAUCUGGCUCCAUGGAGUAUAUCUGGGGUAGCGUUUUUUGAAAUUGUUAAAUUAUAAUCCUUGAAGGUCCUGUGAUGAUACUACCUCUGAAUCUAGUCCUUGUCUCUUUUCCACCACCGUCUUUGACUUUGAAUUUCUCCCUGUUGUAAUGCAGCAUUUGUUCUCUGGGUUGUUGGGUAUUGUACCAGAAAGGGAGCAUUUCAAGUGUUGCCAGAUAAGAAUGGAAAAUAGAUAAUACUUUAUUUUUCUGUGAUCCAGAACAAGAAUUAAAAGCAAGGAGAGGGCUGGCCCCGUGGCUGAGUGGUUAAGUUCGCGCGCUCUGCUGCAGGCGGCCCAGUGUUUCAUUGGUUCAAAUCCUGGGCGCGGACAUAGCACUGCUCAUCAAACCACGCUGAGGCGGCGUCCCACAUACCACAACUAGAAGAACCCACAACGAAGAAUAUACAACUAUGUACCGGGGGAAUUUGGGGAGGAAAAGGAAAAAAUAAAAUCUUAAAAAAA
rnacentral:lncRNA from 1 species